GACAGAGGGUGCAAACGUUGUUCGGAAUUACUGGGCGUAAAGCGCGUGUAGGCGGCUAAGUAAGUCGGGCGUGAAAUCCCACGGCUCAACCGUGGAAGUGCACUCGAAACUGCAUAGCUAGAGUCCUGGAGAGGAAGGUGGAAUGCUUGGUGUAGAGGUGAAAUUCGUAGAUAUCAAGCGGAACACCGGUGGCGAAGGCGGCCUUCUGGACAGUGACUGACGCUGAGACGCGAAAGCGUGGGGAGCAAAC
rnacentral:rRNA from 1 species